rnacentral:tRNA from 1 species
GUCCAGGGAUGGGAAUCGAACCCACAAUGUUCUGCUUACUGGGCAGAUGCCAUGUCCACUAGGCUACCCUGGA